rnacentral:lncRNA from 1 species
AACGAGGGAUGUGUAGCAAAAUUCUUCCUGACUUCGGUAGUAGGAUCUGAUGGAGACUUGGUCUCAUCCUGGGAUCCGAAAGGUUUUGGCCUAUCCUGGCUGUGCACUUGAUAUUGAGGUCCAUCCCGAUAGCGUUUCUCAAAAUGGGGAGCCUCCUGGCUCACAUCCAGUUUGGGAACAAUUGGCCCCUUUAGGUCAAAAUGUGCCAUUUGGAGUUGCCUCUUGAGCAACCCACUCCCCGCCCCA